AGUCGAACGCACCGCAAGGUGAGUGGCAGACGGGUGAGUAACGCGUGGGAACCUUCCCUUUGGUACGGAAUAACUUCGGGAAACCGAAGCUAAUACCGUAUAAGUCCUCCGGGAGAAAGAUUUAUCGCCAAAGGAUGGGCCCGCGUUGGAUUAGCUAGUUGGUAGGGUAAUGGCCUACCAAGGCGACGAUCCAUAGCUGGUCUGAGAGGAUGAUCAGCCACACUGGGACUGAGACACGGCCCAGACUCCUACGGGAGGCAGCAGUGGGGAAUAUUGGACAAUGGGGGAAACCCUGAUCCAGCCAUGCCGCGUGAGUGAAGAAGGCCUUAGGGUUGUAAAGCUCUUUUGGCGGGGACGAUAAUGACGGUACCCGCAGAAUAAGCCCCGGCUAACUUCGUGCCAGCAGCCGCGGUAAUACGAAGGGGGCUAGCGUUGUUCGGAAUCACUGGGCGCAAAGCGCACGCAGGCGGAUUGAUAAGUCAGGGGUGAAAUCCCGGGGCUCAACCUCGGAAUUGCCUUUGAUACUGUCUGUCUUCGAGUUCGGGAGAGGUUGGCGGAAUUCCUAGUGUAGAGGUGAAAUUCGUAGAUAUUAGGAAGAACACCAGUGGCGAAGGCGGCCAACUGGCCCGAUACUGACGCUCAUGUGCGAAAGCGUGGGGAGCAAACAGGAUUAGAUACCCUGGUAGUCCACGCUGUAAACUAUGGAUGCUAGCCGUUGGGGAGCUUGCUCUUCAGUG
rnacentral:rRNA from 1 species